rnacentral:rRNA from 2 species
UGCAAGUCGAACGAACUCUGGUAUUGAUUGGUGCUUGCAUCAUGAUUUACAUUUGAGUGAGUGGCGAACUGGUGAGUAACACGUGGGAAACCUGCCCAGAAGCGGGGGAUAACACCUGGAAACAGAUGCUAAUACCGCAUAACAACUUGGACCGCAUGGUCCGAGUUUGAAAGAUGGCUUCGGCUAUCACUUUUGGAUGGUCCCGCGGCGUAUUAGCUAGAUGGUGGGGUAACGGCUCACCAUGGCAAUGAUACGUAGCCGACCUGAGAGGGUAAUCGGCCACAUUGGGACUGAGACACGGCCCAAACUCCUACGGGAGGCAGCAGUAGGGAAUCUUCCACAAUGGACGAAAGUCUGAUGGAGCAACGCCGCGUGAGUGAAGAAGGGUUUCGGCUCGUAAAACUCUGUUGUUAAAGAAGAACAUAUCUGAGAGUAACUGUUCAGGUAUUGACGGUAUUUAACCAGAAAGCCACGGCUAACUACGUGCCAGCAGCCGCGGUAAUACGUAGGUGGCAAGCGUUGUCCGGAUUUAUUGGGCGUAAAGCGAGCGCAGGCGGUUUUUUAAGUCUGAUGUGAAAGCCUUCGGCUCAACCGAAGAAGUGCAUCGGAAACUGGGAAACUUGAGUGCAGAAGAGGACAGUGGAACUCCAUGUGUAGCGGUGAAAUGCGUAGAUAUAUGGAAGAACACCAGUGGCGAAGGCGGCUGUCUGGUCUGUAACUGACGCUGAGGCUCGAAAGUAUGGGUAGCAAACAGGAUUAGAUACCCUGGUAGUCCAUACCGUAAACGAUGAAUGCUAAGUGUUGGAGGGUUUCCGCCCUUCAGUGCUGCAGCUAACGCAUUAAGCAUUCCGCCUGGGGAGUACGGCCGCAAGGCUGAAACUCAAAGGAAUUGACGGGGGCCCGCACAAGCGGUGGAGCAUGUGGUUUAAUUCGAAGCUACGCGAAGAACCUUACCAGGUCUUGACAUACUAUGCAAAUCUAAGAGAUUAGACGUUCCCUUCGGGGACAUGGAUACAGGUGGUGCAUGGUUGUCGUCAGCUCGUGUCGUGAGAUGUUGGGUUAAGUCCCGCAACGAGCGCAACCCUUAUUAUCAGUUGCCAGCAUUAAGUUGGGCACUCUGGUGAGACUGCCGGUGACAAACCGGAGGAAGGUGGGGAUGACGUCAAAUCAUCAUGCCCCUUAUGACCUGGGCUACACACGUGCUACAAUGGAUGGUACAACGAGUUGCGAACUCGCGAGAGUAAGCUAAUCUCUUAAAGCCAUUCUCAGUUCGGAUUGUAGGCUGCAACUCGCCUACAUGAAGUCGGAAUCGCUAGUAAUCGCGGAUCAGCAUGCCGCGGUGAAUACGUUCCCGGGCCUUGUACACACCGCCCGUCACACCAUGAGAGUUUGUAACACCCAAAGUCGGUGGGGUAACCUUUUAGGAACCAGCCGCCUAAGG